rnacentral:tRNA from 1 species
GAGGGUAUAGCUCAGUAGUAGAGUGCAUGCUUAGCAAGCACAAGGUUCUGGGUUCAAUCCCCAGCGCCUCCA